GACGAACGCUGGCGGCGUGCCUAAUACAUGCAAGUUGAGCGCUGAAGGUUGGUACUUGUACCAACUGGAUGAGCAGCGAACGGGUGAGUAACGCGUGGGGAAUCUGCCUUUGAGCGGGGGACAACAUUUGGAAACGAAUGCUAAUACCGCAUAAAAACUUUAAACACAAGUUUUAAGAUUGAAAGAUGCAAUUGCAUCACUCAAAGAUGAUCCCGCGUUGUAUUAGCUAGUUGGUGAGGUAAAGGCUCACCAAGGCGAUGAUACAUAGCCGACCUGAGAGGGUGAUCGGCCACAUUGGGACUGAGACACGGCCCAAACUCCUACGGGAGGCAGCAGUAGGGAAUCUUCGGCAAUAGACGAAAGUCUGACCGAGCAACGCCGCGUGAGUGAAGAAGGUUUUCGGAUCGUAAAACUCUGUUGGUAGAGAAGAACGUUGGUGAGAGUGGAAAGCUCAUCAAGUGACGGUAACUACCCAGAAAGGGACGGCUAACUACGUG
rnacentral:rRNA from 1 species